GGUCCCGAGGUCUGCGGCCUGAGCAUCUUCCCCAGCCAGGCGCCGGGCCUCCCAGAGGCGAUCACAGCCCCGGCCCAAAGGAGGGGGCGAAGAGACUGGCACAAGGACGCAGGGCUCCUGCAGAUGGUUCCGCUGCCUCGGUGCUGGCAAAAAUUUGAUCAGGAAAAUAAUGGUUCUGCUCUUCACUUUGCUAAAACGCCCUGGAGAGGUGUCUCAGGAGCGGGAUCGUGGAGGGGCAGAGCCUCUGGACUCCGAAACUGGUUUGGACAAGCACCCCCUUCUCUCUGCGCCUCCCGAAACGAAGGGCCAGGCUUCUGGGACAGGAAACUGGAUGCUUUCCGGACCGACUGCCUCCUCCUCAGGCCCUUGGAGCCAGCCCGCCCUGCAGCCGCUCUUGCUGCUUCAUCUGUCGGCCUGGCUCCUGUAGGCCCGAGCCGGCAGCUUCCCCAGGCUGAGCUGUGGACUAAGACCUGGGCAGCCCACAUCCCAUCCCACAUCCAUCACCUGCCCAUCCCGGAGCUGGAGGACCCAGGGCAGGACUGGAGCCCUGAGGACCUCCCAAAGCUUCAGGCUUGCCCCUGCCCAAGCCCCAAGAACUUGGAAGGGCCCAGUUCUGCUCAACGAGCAAUUCUCCAACUCCAAGCCCCCAAAGGCCCAGGCAUCCCCCUUUCCCACCUUAGCAGAGAAGACACAGGUUUUUUCCUUCACCAUUACUGUCCUGAAAUUUGCUUUUAUUACAAAGUGCAUUGAUGCCCAUUGCUUGUUGAAUCUACAUAGCACUCCUUUAAAAGACCUCAGCCCGCUGCGGUGUCUUCUCUCCCACAGUGAUAGGGUGACCAGUGUGGUCUUGACUCAAAUGACCAGGGCCCGGCUGAGUGUCAGAACCUGGACCAAUGCUUCUUCCGGGACCUUGCCCCUCCCCAUCCUGCAGGGGUGCCUCAGCACCCAACGGUGCCUUAACUCCCCAUAAGGCAAUCUCCACAGCCCUUUCUGGGAUCUGGGCGGUCCCGGGGCCUCUCUGGAAGGGUACGCACCUGCCCUCAGAAGAGAAAGCCCAGGGCCACACGCACGGAUGUCUUCACCCUUCCCCACCUGUGAUUUCCCAGGAGGGCAAAGAGGAACCCCCUCUGGAAGUCUGGGGACCCCACGUGGUAAGAGCAGCCACUGUUCCAAGCAUUUCACUGGUCUUGGUUCCAUCCUCACAACAGGCCUGAGGAACAUAUUACGACUCAUCCCUAUUUUGCAGCUGAGUAAUCUGAAGCCCAGAGAGGAGGCUCGGAUAUAAACGACAGAGUUAGGGCUUAACCCCUACCCCUCUAGCUUCAGCUGGAACUAUUGGAAAACACCAGGCAUUGCAUCGUGAGCUUUUCCUUCCAAAAACCCCACUCGUGGUUUUUGCCAAAGCCUUUCCUCUUCAUUCCCAGGUGAAUUCACAGGGGUUGGGAGAAGUGUGUGUGGUGGGGGGUACUGCAGGCAACUAACCUCUGGCCACUUGCUUUGAACAUAAAGGAGAGUAAAGAAAAAAAAAAAUAUGACCAAAAAACCAUUUGGAAACCUCCUGGAGAAGACCUCCAGGCCUUGCCCUCUUAAAACAGAACCCAGAGGCUGGGUGGGGAUUGUGCAAGAGCCCAAGGGGAGGCUGGAACCACCCUUAGGGAUGUGGGAGAGGAGGGACUAACUGCCCUGCCCAAGCAGGUGGGAAGAGUCUUCGGGGCCUAUGUUCCAAAAUAUCAGAAAUGUCAUUGCAGCAGCUGACCCUGGAGACCCUAAGGGACCAUUACAAUCCACUGAGGCCCUGAGUGCCUGCCUGGAAAGGGGCAAAACUCACCAGGGUUACCCAGCCAGUUCCAACCUUUUGAGAGCCAUAGCCCCUUCAUGUAUCUGGCAAAACUCAAUGUACAGGGGCAUUGAGGUUAGCCUUCAGCUUCCCAGGUCCCCCUACCCCCUACAGCCCCCCUAGAGCCACCAAACCCCAGACACAGUCGCCUGAUCCCUGUGAUAGGGGGUGUGGCUUUCCCAGAGUGUUUUCCCUUACAAGGGGCAGCUGCUUCUCCAGGACUGAUUGGCCCAAGUGAUAAAACCUACGGUCUGGCCUGGCCUCCCACACUGAAUCCUGGAGGAAGCACAACCUCUUGACUCUGCACAGGCCUCCAUUCAAAAACCUAGGACCCAGAGGUGCAUCUGGGGCAGAGACUGGCCAGUCUGGAGCAUCUCCUAUAAAGCAGGACUGACCUUCCCUUGGGAUGAGAGGGUCCCAGUACAGGGGACUGGCCACGCCAUUGGUUCCUUUUCUGCAUGGGAAGAUCAAAAGGC